rnacentral:misc_RNA from 1 species
CCUCCUCCCUCCCUUCCGGUUCCCAGCUGCCUGUCUGUGCAACGUGCAUCUUCCCUGCUACUUCCUCCCACCUGCUGUAGGGCAGCAGGGAUCAAAGAGAAGGUCGUGGGUACGCAGGACACAAAGAAGCUCGCUGAUUCUCUUCCCCAUCUGCAGGUCCAAGGGAGCACGAAGAUGAGCACACAAGUUGCAUCAGCUGCUGCUGGUUCAGCAUCCUCAGCUUCUUCAGAUGUUGCAUCCCUUAUAGAAAAGGCUAUAGCAGCACAAGAAUAUGGAGUUCUGGACACUCCAACUAACCAUAGAUAGUCUUAAUGAUCGAUUUCUACUAUAUAAGUAUAUAGUAUAUUGUAUAUAUACCCUACAUAUAUGUCCUGGUAUAUACAAGAUGAUUAUAUAGACGACUAGUUGUCCUAGUUAUCGACUAACCGUCCUGGUCGGUACUAGGGCCUAGCGAUGGCUAGCCGAUUUAAUAACCUUGAUAGGGCAUUCCAAUGUUGACAUUGUUAUAUGUAAAAUGACUGCAACAUGCCCGAUGCUUCAAAAAGGC